rnacentral:rRNA from 1 species
GUGGGGAAUAUUGGGCAAUGGUCGGAAGACUGACCCAGCCAUGCCGCGUGCAGGAAGACGGCCCUCUGGGUUGUAAACUGCUUUUAUCUGGGAAGAAAAAGGCCAUGCGUGGCAAAUUGCCGGUACCAGAUGAAUAAGCACCGGCUAACUCCGUGCCAGCAGCCGCGGUAAUACGGAGGGUGCGAGCGUUGUCCGGAUUUAUUGGGUUUAAAGGGUGCGUAGGCGGCUGAUUAAGUCAGCGGUGAAAGACUUCGGCUUAACCGGAGCAGUGCCGUUGAUACUGGUUUGCUUGAGUGUCGGAGGGGUACAUGGAAUUGAUGGUGUAGCGGUGAAAUGCAUAGAUACCAUCAGGAACACCGAUAGCGAAGGCAUUGUACUGGCCGACAACUGACGCUGAUGCACGAAAGUGUGGGGAUCGAACAGGAUUAGAUACCCGAGUAGUCC